GGGGAGGGAAAUAAUAGUACCGAAGUUCCUGAUGUCACACUGCCGAGAAAAGCUUCUAGUGAGAAAACAACGACCCGUACCGCAAACCGACACAGGUAGUCGAGGAGAGAAUCCUAAGGUGAGCGAGAGAACUCUCGUUAAGGAACUCGGCAAAAUGACCCCGUAACUUCGGGAGAAGGGGUGCUGAUCUAAGAUCAGCCGCAGUGAAUAGGCCCAAGCGACUGUUUAUCAAAAACACAGGUCUCUGCAAAAUCGUAAGAUGAAGUAUAGGGGCUGACGCCUGCCCGGUGCUGGAAGGUUAAGAGGAGUGCUUAGCGUAUGCGAAGGUACGAAUUGAAGCCCCAGUAAACGGCGGCCGUAACUAUAACGGUCCUAAGGUAGCGAAAUUCCUUGUCGGGUAAGUUCCGACCCGCACGAAAGGCGUAACGAUUUGGGCACUGUCUCAACGAGAGACUCGGUGAAAUUUUAGUACCUGUGAAGAUGCAGGUUACCCGCGACAGGACGGAAAG
rnacentral:rRNA from 1 species